GCCUGGGUGGCUCAGUCGGUUGAGCGUCCGACUUCGGCUCAGGUCAUGAUCUCACGGUUCGUGAGUUCGAGCCCCGCGUCAGGCU
rfam:Felis catus isolate Cinnamon breed Abyssinian chromosome C2, whole genome shotgun sequence.